rnacentral:misc_RNA from 1 species
GUAGGUGAACCUGCGGAAGGAUCAUUAAAAGUUAAUUGGUUAUACUCCGGUAUAAAUCUAAUUAAACACCUCUGAGUACCUUACCUGUUGCUUCCGUGAGGCCUGACUCCAGCAGUGGUUCGCCGCCGCUGGAUACUUGCGGAAGGUAUACACUUAAACACUUUUGAAUCAAUGUCAUCUGUCUGAUAAUGUUUAUAACAAACGUUAAAACUUUCAACAACGGAUCUCUUGGUUCUC